CGGAGAGUGCGAACGUUGUUCGGAUUCACUGGGCGUAAAGGGCACGUAGGCGGCUCGGCAAACCGGUCGUGGAAUCCCGACGCUUACCGUCGGAACGGCGGCCGAAAAUACCGGGCUCGAGGGCGUGAGGGGUCACUGGAACUCCUGGUGAAGCGGUGAAAUGCGUAGAUAUCAGGAGGAACGCCGGAGGCGAAAGCGAGUGACUGGCGCGUUCCUGACGCUGAGGUGCGAAAACUAGGGGAGCAAACAGGAUUAGAUACCCUGGUAGUCCUAGCCGUAAACGAUGGACACUGAGUGGGGGAGGGCUUGCCUUUCCCUGCUGCAGCUAACGCGUUAAGUGUCCCGCCUGGGGAGUACGGCCGCAAGGUUA
rnacentral:rRNA from 1 species